rnacentral:rRNA from 1 species
GUGCAGCCGCCGCGGUAAUACGGAGGGUGCAAGCGUUAUCCGGAAUCAUUGGGUUUAAAGGGUCCGUAGGCGGGCUAUUAAGUCAGAGGUGAAAGUUUGCAGCUCAACUGUAAAAUUGCCUUUGAUACUGGUAGUCUUGAAUUAUUGUGAAGUGGUUAGAAUAUGUAGUGUAGCGGUGAAAUGCAUAGAUAUUACAUAGAAUACCAAUUGCGAAGGCAGAUCACUAACAAUAUAUUGACGCUGAUGGACGAAAGCGUGGGGAGCGAACAGGAUUAGAUA